GAAUCAACGAAAACGUAGCGAGGAGCAGCUUUGCAGCAGAGUAGCCUGCGACUCUCGUCCUUACACGCUUGUAGAUGAGGACACGUAGCAUCCGAAGGACGAUAAGAUGAUCCGCUCUCGAAUUCAGAUAUUGUGGGAUUUGUUGGUCGAAAAUCUGGUACACUACAACUUGCUCCUUGGGAGAUUUUUGAAUUUGGAAUGGGUGUGAGAAUCUCGACUUUGCCCUUUUUCCGCCCAAGAAAUCAAACCCUAGAUUCUGUACUCUCUUUCAUCGUUUUGAAAGGGGGCAGCAGGCGAUAUACAAAAUAUAUUGCAAAGAGUUUUUAGUAAAGGGAAAAUUCUUUUCUUUCACAAGUUUCAGAGUAUUUCAAGCAAAUAGAACACACGCAUAAAUACUUCUAAAUUUUUCUGUUUGGAGUUGUCGCUUGUAGAUUCACGUUCCCUAGUUUCAUAGUGAAGAUAAGCUCACUGCUCGCCAUUGUUCCAGUCGCCUCCUAGAACAAGUUCACCAUGAACUCCCAUUUCCCCUCGCUUUGCAUAUUUAAGAGAGUCGUAAAGUCUCAAAUUCUCUUGUUUGAGUCAAGCUCACCAAUUUAGCGUACAGAUUACGGAGUUCAAAUAAUUGGAGAGUUGAAGAAGUUGGGCCAAGAAGCCCAUAUUAUUUUAUUCUUUUGUAUAUAUUUUGUAAAUUUUGGCCUAAGCCCUUGUUGUAUUUCCUUUAGUAUUUUUUUUUAAAGUUUAAGACAGGUGGAAAUGAACCAAAAACCCAAAACAGGUGGAUCCAAAUUCCGGUCAAGGCGGACAGAACUCGGGUUGGACCCAAUCUAUCUCUCUCUCUUGCCUUA